rnacentral:misc_RNA from 1 species
GCCCUAACCAUUCAUUAACCUUAUCUGUCUUCACUCCGGCGAACGGCGAUGUCUCACUUCGGUAGAUCAGGCCCACCGGACAUCAAAGACACCUACUCUCUGCUCGUUCUCAACGUUACUUUUCGUACCACUGCUGAUGACUUGUUUCCUCUAUUUGAUAAGUAUGGAAAAGUAGUCGAUGUCUUUAUCCCUAGAGACCGAAGGACUGGAGAUUCUAGGGGUUUUGCAUUUGUGCGCUACAAGUAUCAGGAUGAGGCUCAAAAAGCAGUGGAAAAGCUUGAUGGAAGAGUUGUAGAUGGUCGGGAAAUCAUGGUUCGAUUUGCGAAGUACGGCCCUAAUGCUGAGAGAAUUGACAAAGGUAGAAUUUUGGAGCCUGUACAAAGGCCAAAAGGGAGGUCAAGAAGCCGCAGUCCUAGACCAAGGCAUCGUGAUCAUAGGGACAAGGAUUCUAGAAGGAGAAGCCGAAGUAGAAGUAGAAGUAGAAGUAGGGGAAGGUAUGAGCGUGAUCAGUACCGUGGAAGAGACAGAGAUAACCGUCAUCGGAGCAGAAGCCGCAGCCCUGAUUACCACAGAGGUCGUGGGAGAGGUAAAUAUGAUGAGGACAGGCGCAGCCGAAGUCGGUCUCAUGGAAGAAGUGCCUCCCCUGCUCGCCGUAGCCCCAGUCCUCGAAGGAGCCCUUCUCCACGAAGAACAACUCCUCCUAGGGAUGCUAGUCCAGAUGGACGUAAUCACAAGGACCGGUCUCCAACUCCAAAGUGUAUAUCACCUCGGGGUAGACGUGCUGGUUCUCGCAGCCCCUUGCCACGUUCUGAUGCUGAUGAUUGAGGAGCAAGGGAGGAGCCACAGUUGUAAUCUGGCUUUGGUUGAUGCUGCGUAUCAGGACAUUCCUAAGUGAAUGAUACUUUCAUCUGUAUUCUGCUUGCUAGAACUGGUUGGCCAGACUUAUUUAUAAGGUUUAACUUCUUUUUGUUGUACUUAACCAGAACUUCUUUUGAUGUUACAUCUGCAUUCUGGUAUUAUGG